UACGAAGGGGGCUAGCGUUGUUCGGAAUUACUGGGCGUAAAGCGCGCGCAGGCGGCUAUCCAAGUCAGUGGUGAAAGCCCGGAGCUCAACUCCGGAACUGCCAUUGAAACUGUUUAGCUUGAGGAUGAGAGAGGUGAGUGGAAUUCCCAGUGUAGAGGUGAAAUUCGUAGAUAUUGGGAAGAACACCGGUGGCGAAGGCGGCGAGCUGGUCCAUUACUGACGCUGAGGCGCGACAGCGUGGGGAGCAAACAGG
rnacentral:rRNA from 1 species